GGAGGCUGACAGGGAGCUUCUUCUGAAGCUGGGCAGGAUGGCCUUGGAACAUCUGGACAGAGGAAACAUCCUGUUCUACCAAGAAGACCUGGAGCAGUGUGGUCUGGAUGUGACUGAGGCCUCGCUGUUACUCUGGAAUCUGCACUCAGAUCUUCAAGAGAGAGUCUGUGAUCUUCCAGAAAGCCGUCUACAGCUUCGUCCAUCUGAGUGUUCAGGAGUUCCUGGCUGCAGUCUCCAUGUUCCACUGUUUCACCAACAGGAAGAAAGACAUACUGAAGACCUUCAUUGGAGAGGACUGGAAGCAGAUAGAAUCAAGACCAAAAACUGACAAAGGGCCAAAGUUAUUCAGAAAAAAAGAUACAUUCCCAUCUCUGGACAACUUCCUGAAGGCCGUCCUGCAGAAAUCCCUCAGAAGUCAGAACGGCCACCUGGACCUGUUUGUCCGCUUCCUUCAUGGCCUCUCUCUGGAAUCCAACCAGAGUCUUAGAAGGUUUGCUGGGUCCAACAGAGAUCAGUCCAGGAACCAUCCACAGAGUUAUGAAGAACCUGAAGGAGCUCAGCAGUGACAAAGUGUCUCCUGACAGAAGCAUCAACAUCUUCCACUGCCUGACGGAGAUGAAGGACCUCUCAGUAAAUCAGGACAUCCAAGAGUUCCUGAUGUCACAGAACAGAUCCUUGAAGAAACUCUCUGAGAUCCAGUGCUCAGCUCUGGCCUACAUGCUGCAGAUGUCAGACCAGGUCCUGGAGGAGUUGGACUUGCAGAAGUACAACACAUCAUGGGAGGGACGACGGAGACUGAUGCCAGCUGUGAAGAACUGCAGGAAGGCGAAGUGAACUUUCAGACUGCAGACUCUCUGACUGUCACUGUGAAGUGAUCUCCUCAGCUCUGACCUCCGACCCCUCCCAUCUGAAACAUCUGGACCUGAGUUACAACAACCUGAAUGACUCAUCAGUGAAGACUGUGUGUUCUGGGACUGGAGAGUCCAAACUGUCAACUGGAGACUCUGAGCUUGGAGAGAUGCAGUUUGUCAGCGAUCAGCUGUUCUUCUGUGGCCUCAGCUCUGAAGUCCAACCCCUCCCUCCUGAAACAUCUGGAACAUCUGGACCUGAGCUGGAACCAGCUGCAGGAUUCAGCAGUUGAGCAGCUGUGUGGUUUUCUGCUGAAUCCACUCUGUGGUCUGAAGACUCUGAGGUUGGAGAGAUGCAGCUUGUCAGACAUCAGUAUUUCUUCUGUGGUCUCUGCUGUGAAGUCUAACCCGUCCCUCCUGAAACAUCUGGAACAUCUGGACCUGAGCUGGAACCAUCUUCAGGAUUCAGGAGUUUCUCAGCUGUGUGGUUUUCUGCAGAGUCCACUCUGUGGUCUGCAGACUCUGAGGUCAGUUGACUGUCUGUUCCUCUUGCAGAAGGAGAAAUGCUUGUCAGCAA